UACGGAGGGUGCAAGCGUUAUCCGGAUUCACUGGGUUUAAAGGGUGCGUAGGUGGGCCUGUAAGUCAGUGGUGAAAUCUCCGGGCUUAACCCGGAAACUGCCAUUGAUACUAUAGGUCUUGAAUUUUCUGGAGGUCAGCGGAAUAUGUCAUGUAGCGGUGAAAUGCUUAGAUAUGACAUAGAGCACCGAUUGCGAAGGCAGCUGACUACAGGAACAUUGACACUGAGGCACGAAAGCGUGGGGAUCAAACAGG
rnacentral:rRNA from 1 species